rnacentral:rRNA from 1 species
UACAGAGGCCUCAAGCGUUGUUCGGAUUCAUUGGGCGUAAAGGGUGUGUAGGUGGCGCGCUAAGUCGGGUGUGAAAUUUCGGAGCUUAACUCCGAAACUGCAUUCGAUACUGCGGUGCUUGAGGACUGGAGAGGAGACUGGAAUUUACGGUGUAGCGGUGAAAUGCGUAGAUAUCGUAAGGAAGACCAGUGGCGAAGGCGGGUCUCUGGACAGUUCCUGACGCUGAGGCACGAAGGUCAGGGGAGCAAACGGG